rnacentral:lncRNA from 1 species
UGGCUGGCUGCUCCAAGUGCAGGGCCCGCCAAGACCACGCCCACCCGGAACUCCAGCUGACAGCGAGUGGGAACGCAGCGAGUGGGAACGCAGCCCCAGUUGCCACUCACGCCUCUCCCUCCACACCUCCCUGCAAGCUGAGGGAGCCGGCUCCGGCCUUGGCCAGCCCAGAAAGGGGCUCCCACAGUGCAGCGGUGGGCUGAAGGGCUCCUCAAGUGCCCCCAAAGUGGGAGCCCAGGCAGAGGAGGCCCCGAGAGCGAGCAAGGGCUCUGAGGACUGCCAGCACGCUGUCACCUCUCAAAACCACCUCACUUGGUUGUAGGAGGUCAUUGAAGAUUGCCUGGAGGAAGCCAUGUUCAAUGGGCACAUUUGUAGAAUGAUGUGAGCCAGCCCAUGGCAGACAUCCAGCUGAUCACACUGUGUCCACAUAAGGCAAAUGCUGAGCUGUAAUCCAUCAAGCUGUUUCCGCAUAGAGAAAAGGCCAUAUGAGUACACAGCCAGAAGGUGUCUGCCUACAAGACAAAGAGGGAAAACUUACCUGAAACCAACCCUGAUGGAUAUUGGAUUUCUAAGCUCCAGAACUGUGAGAAAAUUAAUUUUAUGUGCUUUAAGACACUCAAUUUGUGGUAUUCUGUUAUGGCAGCCUAUGCUAGUCAAUUUGCAUUACCAUAAAGCAACACCUGAGAGUGGGUAAAUUAUAAAGAAAAGAAGUUGAAUCGGCUCAUGGUUCUGCAGGCAGUACAGAAGCAUAGUGCUGGCAAUUGCCCCUGGCAAGGGGCUCAGGAAGCUUACAAACAUGGCAGAAGGCAAAGGGAAGCCAACAUAUCACACGUAAGCUCAGGAAGCUUACAAACAUGGCAGAAGGCAAAGGGAAGCCAACAUAUCACGUGGCGAGAAAGACAGAGAAGCGGUAGGUCCCAGACUCUUUUAAACAACAAGACCUCAUGUGAACUGAGGGGAAACUCACUUUCACCAAGGAGAUGGUGCUAAACCACUAAUGAGGGAUCUGUCCCAUGAGCCAAUCACCUCCCACCAAGACCUACCUCCAAUUUUGGAAAUUAUAUUUCAACAUGAGAUUUGGAGGGGACAAACAUCCAAACCAUAUCCCAGCCUGAGCAGACUAACAGAGUCUCUGAAUAAAUCUAUGAAAAUGACUAGAGUAUUAUUUUGUUGAGUGAUUUCUUCUUGUAUUAGGAUUGGUCUCCUUGAAAAUAUUUUUCUCAUAUCUGUUAUAAUAAAAUACUGAGAAUCAUACUAAUUCUACUCUAAACUUAGAUAUUUAAGAGGGUUGGAUUUGACUGAUUGCUCUGAUGUUGCUAACAUAGUCAAAGACUUUUCAAAACUAAAGUGUAAUAUUAUGUCAUGCAACCUUGAGAAAAUUACAAUGGACAAAGCAGAACUAUAAUUCACAAUUCAUCUCCCAAACAAAUUGUGACACCCCUUCUUUCCAAUCCACUGAAAUAUGCCUAAAAUGAGAAAAAAGGGAAAUCUUAAAAACAACAACAACAACAACAAAGAAAAAACAGAAAACGGCAACAUUCAGGCAAAAAAGAAUGUGAGGACUAUGAUGCUGGCAUGCUAAACUUAAUUAAUAAUAAAUGAGAGAGUUUGGAAUGAUUAUAUGUGAAUGAGUUUCAAUCCUGAUAUCUUUUCCCUUCAUUUUUUCACCUCAAAGACCUAGUCCAUCAGCAUCUUUUAUUACUAUCAUCAGCCUUCCAGAGCCUCUGCCAAGAUGUCUGCUGCCUGGAGCCCAUGGGUAUAUGUCCCAAUUAGUCAUAGCCCAGGGUCAAAUGUGUCAUUCCAGAGAGCCAACAGUUCAUAGCUAAUUUACGUUUCCUUGUCAAAAUGCUUAAACCACGUAUUUUAGAGCAGUAACUAGAAAAACUAGGAAAUAAAAACUUGAAAAAUGUCAACGGGAAAUGACUUUUUCCUCGGUUAGCAUCUGCAAUAUACUUAUCUUAAAUAUUUUCUGCCUUUUGACCAUCUUCCAUGGUCGAUAUUUAUAUUAUAAUUUGUCAUUAUCGAAAAUUGAUCCCUGUAUCAAUUUCUGCUUAUCUUUAGACAAUAUUGAAAAUGACCCUGGAUUUUGUUUUUUAAGCUAAAAAAUUCUGGUUCACACAUGAAACUUCCAAAAAAUAAUUGUUUUCCUGUAUCUUGAAGAAAACAAAUUAUGUGCUUCAAGAACUCAAGUUAUUUUUAAUCAUGUUUUUAAAAACAUGAUUAUGUAGUAUCCAUUUCUGUCAUAUUAUUGUCAAACAGAAAACACUUACAUCAUUCGACCACCUUAGGGUGCUUUCCAUUGGAAUCUCUAUAGCACCACUGAUUUUUUUUUUGAAAUAGGUUCUCACUCUGUCACCCAGGUUGGAGUGCAGUGGUGUGAUCAUAGCUUACUGUGGCCUGGGACUUUUAGGCUCAAGUGAUCCUCCUGCCUCAGUCUCCCAAGUAGCUGGGAUUACAGGCACCAGCCACCAUGCCAGGCCUGGUUAGUCAUUUGUAUAUAGCAUGUGUCAAAUUCAUAUAAAUGUUUUGUUAUUGCUAUAACUACUCCAAAGGUUUUGAUAAUUUACAUACACCAUGUUGUACUUACUGUCUCUUGGUCGCUGCGUUACAUGUUGAGAUAAUACUUGUGAAUGAGACAGAUGCCUGGAGGUGAAAAACAAACCUAGUCAAAAGAUAUGCUUCGCAUAAUUGUUUAUAAAGUAAAAAAUUAAAGGUAACUGAAUGCUUAUCAAUAUUGAGCUGUUUUAUAUCUAUACCAGAAAGUAUAAGGCAAUACUUUAAAAAAUGUGUAAAACCUUGUAAACUCACAUAAAAAAAUUUAGAGACAUGUUAACUGACAAAAGGAAGACGAACAUUUUGUUUUGCUUUAUCUCAUUUAUGGGAAAAAUCGACAAAUCAAAACUCCCUUGUGUGUGUGUAUGUGUGUGUGUGUGUGUGUGUACAUGUGAACAUGCCCAUGUGUAAUUAUAAAUAUAUAGAAAAAAGAACUAGAUAUCUUAACUUCUCACUAAAAAAAUACCUUCUGUACAGGAGAAUGGUUUGGAAAUUGAGACUAAUCAAGGAGUAACAUUAAUUUUAUCUGUACUAUUUAAUUUUUUAUUAUCAAGAUUAUAUCCAUGUGUUACUAUUGUAAAUAAAAAAGCAUGAAAGACAAACUUCAAUGAAUAAAAUAGUUAAUAAAGUUUAGAUAUAACUUCAAUUUAAUCAGCAAAUUAUAAGAGCAGCUAGCAAAAUUCUUUCAAAUACUAGAUAUUAUUUCUUUAAGCUGAAGGAAAUACAACUACAUUCAAAAAGCUAGCCAGUUAUUAGGUAAAAUUUCUUGGAAGAAAAAUACACAUAGUGAAAAUCUGGUAAGUAUAAAUUUUAAUAAUAAAGAAAGAGAUUUGCACACAACCAGCCUGUAAAAACAAAAAACAAAACCCCAAAACAAACAAAAAAGCCACCCAAAACAGUAACAACAAUGUAUUAUCUUUAUUUCCAAAGAAGAAAACAAUCAAUGUACAUCUCAACUUCCCUGUGAAAUAGAUAAAAGGCUGAUGAUAAGCAAAUAAAGCAAAACAACAUACAAAAUAACAUAAUUGCUGUUAAGAGUUAGACACAUGUCAAAUAAAAUUUGGAAAAAAGGCAGUAAAGUAAAAAUAAUUAACAAUAAAAUUAAAUAUUCAAAACAAUAAGCAUCUAAAAAUUUCAGAUUGUAGAAAUAAACUGUAGAAAGACGUUGUGAAGAAAAAUAAAAGUAUUUUCUCAUUUUAUUUCAUAUAUAAGAAAUUGCUUAAAAGAUAGAAUGUUAUCACUGAUGAUUAAAAUAGAAAAUGAAGAAUAAUAUUUUAGCAACUUUAAGAAUAGCAAAAUAUGUAUGUAGAAUGUAUGAGAAGUAUUUAAAAAUAUAUUCAAAUAAAUUAUGAUCUAUAGAGACAUAGAUAAACUAAUGAAAAUCAGAAGGUGUAAAAAAAAGACAUUCUACACACUAUGAUACAAGUAACAUCUGAUGAAUUAGCCAUGCUGAUAACUGCCAAUUUAUUAAAUUUUUCUAUUAAAAAUACAUUUUGUAUUAAAAAUAAAUUAUAUGAUAUCAUUGAUUGUAAUCUUAGAUCUCAAAAUGACUAGAGUGUAAUUUAUGCGGUUAUUUACAUAUUUAUAUAGACAUACAUAAACUAAACAUACACAUAUCCUUUUAUGUAAUUGAAAAAUGAAAAAUAGAUGUAUUUAUAUAAGUGAAUAUACAUGUAAAAGUAUAUAUAUUGGUCUGUCUGAGUUUAAUAAAUGCUAUAUAUAUAUAUAUAUAUAUAUAUAUAUAAUCUGUUCAUGUCUGAAUUUAAUUCCUACUUUGAGACUUAUUCCACUGAUAUCAUAAACCUAAUCUGUCAGUUUUAGUGAAGUCUUUUCAAGUUUUCCUCAGUCAAUGCAGGCAUCUAGCUCACUUACCAGAGUUGUUUUUCACCUGUCUGUGCUGAUUUUUCUAAUACAUUUAUGCUUUCAAAAAGUCUCUGAUUUUUAGUAGAUCAUGGCAGCUUCUCUUUUACACCAUACAUGAAGCUCUCUUAGGCCUAUCCCUUUCCAUUGGCUACUUCUAUACCUCUCCUG